rnacentral:rRNA from 1 species
UGGGGAAUUUUGGACAAUGGGCGAAAGCCUGAUCCAGCAAUGCCGCGUGUGUGAAGAAGGCCUUCGGGUUGUAAAGCACUUUUGUCCGGAAAGAAAUCCUUGGCUCUAAUACAGUCGGGGGAUGACGGUACCGGAAGAAUAAGCACCGGCUAACUACGUGCCAGCAGCCGCGGUAAUACGUAGGGUGCAAGCGUUAAUCGGAAUUACUGGGCGUAAAGCGUGCGCAGGCGGUUUGCUAAGACCGAUGUGAAAUCCCCGGGCUCAACCUGGGAACUGCAUUGGUGACUGGCAGGCUAGAGUAUGGCAGAGGGGGGUAGAAUUCCACGUGUAGCAGUGAAAUGCGUAGAGAUGUGGAGGAAUACCGAUGGCGAAGGCAGCCCCCUGGGCCAAAUACUGACGCUCAUGCACGAAAGCGUGGGGAGCAAACAGGAUUAGAUACCCUGGUAGUCCACGCCCUAAACGAUGUCAACUAGUUGUUGGGGAUUCAUUUCCUUAGUAACGUAGCUAACGCGUGAAGUUGACCGCCUGGGGAGUACGGUCGCAAGAUUAAAACUCAAAGGAAUUGAC